UGAUCCAUUUUGCUUCAUAUUGGUUCAGAUGCAAGCUCAUUUUAUACUUUGCAUGUCUUCAGAUUGAAUAGUUAUUAAAGUCGAGCGUCAGCUUGCACCUAGGCGAGAACUCCAGGCGAAGUGCAUUAAAUGCACAUAUGGUCCAAGGCAUUUAAAGCGAUUCCCACGUGCACUUAAUUAGAUGGGUCUAGAUGCCGAUCUUGGUCCAGGUGAGCUCGAUGUAACAAAUCCUGGACUGGUUUGCAGAAGGUGGAAAAAGUUGGGGCAAACGGUCUGUUUUGCUACCUUGUGGAGGUCGUCGUUGGCUCGAAACGCUGCUGAGUUUAAUGGGAGAUCAAUGUCGGUGCUGGAAAUAGUGGAAAUAAUCAAAGAAGACUCCUAUAUUUGGUUUAAAAAUAGGACUAGGGAUAAGUUAAUAGAUUGGUGGCUGGCUUAUGUUUAAUGUAAAUGCAGUUUUGUAACUUGGCUUGCCUUUCUUGGUGUUACAUUUUUUUUUUCAAGUGAUUUGUUUGCUAAUUUGAUGAUUUGAUGAAGUAAUUUGAACUAAUGAAAUCAGUUAAUUUGUUACAGUUAUUUUUUUUUUCAAGUGAUUUUUUUUGCUGAAUUACAUAAUAUGUGAAUUCGUUGAAUGUUUACUGAAUUUUGUGAUCUGGUAACCAAGGAAAAUUCAGGUUAAUCGGAUGGUGAUAAUGUGUAUUAUACAGUUAAUCGAGUGGUUUGGAUUUGUGUAUGCAUGUUGAUGAGAAACUUCCAGCCCCUACACUUGAAGUAUUGGGCCCUAUAGCGAAAAUAAGUGUGGAAAGUAAGGUAAUAUCUAAAUUCUGUUGACUUACAUUCCUUCGCAAGUAUUUAUUUUCUGCAAUUCAUUUUCUACAAUCGAUCAUUGAUUUAUUAGUUUGAUUUCUGGGUUAAAUAUUGUUUUCUGGUGUUCAAUUGCAUCUUCAAAAAUCGAUUUUGCAGGUCUGUGUUGAUGGUGUUUUGUGAAAUCGACUGCAGGUUCGUGUUAAUAGGUGGCUGGUUUAAUAUCGGAAUUACCUAACAGCACAACUGCUGUUAUAACAUUGGGUAGAACAGAACAGAGGUGUAUAGGUUUAAGAGUCAGUUCAAUGAAGGGGUUAAUUAGGCUUAGAUCGGACAAUGAUGAUGGUAAUGAGGAUGAUGCGGGCGGGUCGAGUGAGAGCGAUGUGGAGGAACAUGAGCAUGAGCAUGAGCAUUUGGAGGUGGAGAAGAGAUUGAAUCAUGAUUUGAGUAGAUUGAAAUGGUUUAUCCGAACUAUGGUGGUUCGGAUCAUGUGUUGGAGAACAGAGUGGAUGAUCAGGAUGCUCAUAUAGCGCGGUUGGAGGAAAAGAAUUUGAUGGUGAAGGAGUUUGAGAAUUUGAGAGAGCAUGUUUGCAGUGUUUGGAGACGUGGAGGCAAGGAGCAGGAUCUCGAAGGUUUGUCGAAGAGGUUGUGGAGAAUGGUUCUGAGGAUGAAAGUGGGAGUCGGGGUUUUGGUAGGUCGAUUGACGGAAAUAGCGAGGCUUUUGAGGAGAACAAGAAUAAUGUUGUUAAUCAAGAAUCUGUUAAUGCAUACUGUGUUGUGGCUGCUGAAUCUGCUGGUAGACAAGUUCCAAUGGCUUUUCUUGAGCGAAUAAUGGAUGACUUAAUUGACUUUAACAACAAAUACAGUGGUGGGAAAGCUAUACAGCUGUUGCCAAUAAUCUGAACAAAGAAUUCGGACCCAAGCUGAAGGAGCAGAUGCAGCAUUGUGUGGACCAUCCUGAAGAAAUCAGCAAGCUUUCGAAGUGGCAAAAGAUGAGUGCGGUCGAAGAAAGGGUGCGCGUGACGGGAGAAAAGGUACGCGUGGCCGAUGAAAAGGUUCGGGUCAAAGAAUGGGACAUAUUGACGGUCGAUGUUGAUAGUUAUCCCGAACCAAAACGCUCUACUUUAAAGAAAAUGCAAGAGGUAAUCAUGAAAAAGUAUCAAAGUUAGGAUUUUUUUUUACGUUUAUGUUUUUUUAACUUAUGUAAUGUUUUGUUUUUUAAUAUUUUUUACGUUUAUGUUUUUUUAACUUAUGUAAUGUUUUGUUUUUUAAUAUUAAUGCAUUUUUUUC